GAGGGGUACUUAGCAGUGAUCAACCCAACCUCGAAAACCAAAUCCUCGUCGGUGGACCUAAUACCAGUAAUCGACCACCACUGGAAGAAAGCGCGAACACGAAUCCCAUCAAGAUUGUGGAUCCGACCCUUUGCAAUCUUACCCGUGACAACUCUAGAAAAGGAAGCGACAUAGUUGUCUGGUGGAAGCGUGAACUUGCAGGAAUCACCGAGGUCCAAAGAGAAGUCACCGGAGGUUUCG
rnacentral:misc_RNA from 1 species